GAUGAAGAACGUAGCGAAAUGCGAUAAGUAGUGUGAAUUGCAGAAUUCAGUGAAUCAUCGAAUCUUUGAACGCACCUUGCGCCCUUUGGCUAUUCCGAAGGGCAUGCCUGUUUGAGUAUCAUGAACACCUCAACUCUCAUGGUUUGCCAUGAUGAGCUUGGACUCUGGGGGUCUUGCUGGCCUAUGGUCAGCUCCUCUCAAAUAAAUCAGCUUGCCAGUGUUUGGUGGCAUCACAGGUGUGAUAACUAUCUACGCUUGUGGUUUUCCAUCAGGUAACCUUCAGUGAUGGAGGUUCGCUGGAGCUCAUAAAUGUCCCUCCUCAGCGAGGACAGCUUUUUGAACGUUUGAUCUCAAAUCAGGUAGGACUACCCGCUGAACUUAAGCAUAUCAAUAAGCGGAGGA
rnacentral:misc_RNA from 1 species